GACGAACGCUGGCGGCGCGCCUAACACAUGCAAGUCGAACGGAGCGUACCGAGUUGAUCCCUUCGGGGUGAAGCAUGGUAUUGCUUAGUGGCGAACGGGUGAGUAACACGUGAGCAACCUACCUUCCGGCGGGGGACAACAUUUGGAAACAGAUGCUAAUACCGCAUAAGACCACGGCAGGACAUCCUGCAGCGGCCAAAGCAGGAAUGCACCGGAAGAUGGGCUCGCGCCUGAUUAGAUAGUUGGUGGGGUAACGGCCCACCAAGUCAACGAUCAGUAGCCGGACUGAGAGGUCGAUCGGCCACAUUGGGACUGAGACACGGCCCAGACUCCUACGGGAGGCAGCAGUGGGGGAUAUUGCACAAUGGGGGAAACCCUGAUGCAGCGACGCCGCGUGAGGGAAGAAGGUUUUCGGAUUGUAAACCUCUGUCUUCGGGGACGAACACAAUGACGGUACCCGAGGAGGAAGCCACGGCUAACUACGUGCCAGCAGC
rnacentral:rRNA from 1 species